UACGUAGGGGGCAAGCGUUGUCCGGAUUUAUUGGGCGUAAAGAGCUCGUAGGUGGUUUGGUAAGUCGGAUGUGAAAUCUCCAGGCUCAACCUGGAGGGGUCAUUCGAUACUGCCAUGACUAGAGGUCGGUAGGGGAGUGUGGAAUUCCUGGUGUAGCGGUGAAAUGCGCAGAUAUCAGGAAGAACACCCGUGGCGAAGGCGGCUCUCUGGGACGGUACUGACGCUGAGACGCGAAAGCGUGGGGAGCGAACAGG
rnacentral:rRNA from 1 species